GACGAACGCUGGCGGCGUGCCUAAUACAUGCAAGUCGAGCGAAUCAGUGGGAGCUUGCUCCCUGAGAUUAGCGGCGGACGGGUGAGUAACACGUGGGUAACCUGCCUGUAAGACUGGGAUAACUUCGGGAAACCGGAGCUAAUACCGGAUACGUUCUUUUCUCGCAUGAGGAGAGAUGGAAAGAUGGUUCUGCUAUCGCUUACAGAUGGACCCGCGGCGCAUCAGCUAGUUGGUGAGGUAACGGCUCACCAAGGCGACGAUGCGUAGCCGACCGGAGAGGGUGAUCGGCCACACUGGGACUGAGACACGGCCCAGACUCCUACGGGAGGCAGCAGUAGGGAAUCUUCCGCAAUGGACGAAAGUCUGACGGAGCAACGCCGCGUGAGCGAAGAAGGCCUUCGGGUCGUAAAGCUCUGUUGUUAGGGAAGAACAAGUACGAGAGUAACUGCUCGUACCUUGACGGUACCUAACCAGAAAGCCACGGCUAACUACGUGCCAGCCGCCGCCGUAA
rnacentral:rRNA from 1 species